rnacentral:rRNA from 1 species
AGCGAACGCUGGCGGCAGGCCUAACACGUGCAAGUCGAACGGAUCCUUCGGGAUUAGUGGCGGACGGGUGAGUAACACGUGGGAACGUGCCCUUUGGUUCGGAACAACUCAGGGAAACUUGAGCUAAUACCGGAUGUGCCCUUCGGGGGAAAGAUUUAUCGCCAUUGGAGCGGCCCGCGUCUGAUUAGCUAGUUGGUGGGGUAAAGGCCCACCAAGGCGACGAUCAGUAGCUGGUCUGAGAGGAUGAUCAGCCACAUUGGGACUGAGACACGGCCCAAACUCCUACGGGAGGCAGCAGUGGGGAAUCUUGCGCAAUGGGCGAAAGCCUGACGCAGCCAUGCCGCGUGAAUGAUGAAGGUCUUAGGAUUGUAAAAUUCUUUCACCGGGGACGAUAAUGACGGUACCCGGAGAAGAAGCCCCGGCUAACUUCGUGCCAGCCGCCGCCGCAG